CCCCGUACACAAAAAUGCACAUGCUGUGAGCUCGAUGAGUAGGGCGGGACACGUGGUAUCCUGUCUGAAUAUGGGGGGACCAUCCUCCAAGGCUAAAUACUCCUGACUGACCGAUAGUGAACCAGUACCGUGAGGGAAAGGCGAAAAGAACCCCGGCGAGGGGAGUGAAAAAGAACCUGAAACCGUGUACGUACAAGCAGUGGGAGCACGCUUAGGCGUGUGACUGCGUACCUUUUGUAUAAUGGGUCAGCGACUUAUAUUCUGUAGCAAGGUUAACCGAAUAGGGGAGCCGAAGGGAAACCGAGUCUUAACUGGGCGUUAAGUUGCAGGGUAUAGACCCGAAACCCGGUGAUCUAGCCAUGGGCAGGUUGAAGGUUGGGUAACACUAACUGGAGGACCGAACCGACUAAUGUUGAAAAAUUAGCGGAUGACUUGUGGCUGGGGGUGAAAGGCCAAUCAAACCGGGAGAUAGCUGGUUCUCCCCGAAAGCUAUUUAGGUAGCGCCUCGUGAAUUCAUCUCCGGGGGUAGAGCACUGUUUCGGCAAGGGGGUCAUCCCGACUUACCAACCCGAUGCAAACUGCGAAUACCGGAGAAUGUUAUCACGGGAGACACACGGCGGGUGCUAACGUCCGUCGUGAAGAGGGAAACAACCCAGACCGCCAGCUAAGGUCCCAAAGUCAUGGUUAAGUGGGAAACGAUGUGGGAAGGCCCAGACAGCCAGGAUGUUGGCUUAGAAGCAGCCAUCAUUUAAAGAAAGCGUAAUAGCUCACUGGUCGAGUCGGCCUGCGCGGAAGAUGUAACGGGGCUAAACCAUGCAC
rnacentral:rRNA from 1 species